UUAAGUUGUGUUUCAUCAUGAUUGCUGUGUUGACAAUAUUAUGUGCUUGAUAGGACACCAGUAGUCUGUAUUUGCUUGUGGGAGUGGAUUUUGUGCUUGAUGCCAUUCACUUGUGUGAUUACUAUGUGCACUUGAAGUAAUUGAUUGCCCUAUUGUCCUGACGCCCACUACAAUGGUCUAGCCUAUCCUAUGUGAGAAUCCCUUCAGUCUCAGCUGAACUGCAUUGCCUGUCUCAGACCCUACCUCCCUGGACUAAUUGAAUAGACUAUUUAAGACUGAUGAUAUGAGGGUAAGGGAGUUCGGCGUGGAAGCAUCGUUUGCAGCCCCGGGUCCCACGUCUGCAGAACAGAGGAGGAAUUUACGCCAACUGGCCGAUCCAGAGACGAACGCGCCGCCGGGGGUACAGCCUGACUGAAUCGGAUACGACGCGCGCUAUCCUCCUUCUAAAGGAACCUGCAGCUGGAUUCCCCCUUCCGCUUCGGGGCCGAUCGCGAGUGAGCCCAGGUCUGGAUGGAACGAUUGAAUACAGUUCAACGCUCUCUAAGUAUAAACCUAAGGAACGUGAGCAUUUGGGCCACAUGUGUGGGAAGCAUAUUCUUGUCUUUUGUGUGCUCUGAUCGCUGAUUGUCUGCCUCUCUAUUCCUCAGUCAUCUCGCCCACUCGACGCGGCUUACUUCCGGUUUAUUUGGGAGAGCGACAACAAAGGCGCGUUCGGGUGCCUCUGGAGCUGCGUCUUUGCGCCUUUGGCCGCGUUCCCUAUCAUCUGGACUGUUGCCCUACUGCAUCUACGAACUAUACAAUGUGGUCUGAUUGGACUGUUUAAACGUGAUGUUUUAUUGUAGUUUUAAACUUAAUCUGUGCAAAUUUUGAUAAAAAUAAAAGGUAAUUUAUUAAAAUUA